rnacentral:rRNA from 1 species
AUUGAGCGCUGGCGGCAGGCCUAACACAUGCAAGUCGAACGGUAACAGGAAGAAGCUUGCUUCUUUGCUGACGAGUGGCGGACGGGUGAGUAAUGUCUGGGAAACUGCCUGAUGGAGGGGGAUAACUACUGGAAACGGUAGCUAAUACCGCAUAACGUCGCAAGACCAAAAAGGGGGACCUUCGGGCCUCUUGCCAUCGGAUGUGCCCAGAUGGGAUUAGCUAGUAGGUGGGGUAACGGCUCACCUAGGCGACGAUCCCUAGCUGGUCUGAGAGGAUGACCAGCCACACUGGAACUGAGACACGGUCCAGACUCCUACGGGAGGCAGCAGUGGGGAAUAUUGCACAAUGGGCGCAAGCCUGAUGUAGCCAUGCCGCGUGUAUGAAGAAGGCCUUCGGGUUGUAAAGUACUUUCAGCGGGGAGGAAGGGAGUAAAGUUAAUACCUUUGCUCAUUGACGUUACCCGCAGAAGAAGCACCGGCUAACUCCGUG